rnacentral:rRNA from 1 species
GACGAACGCUGGCGGCGUGCCUAAUACAUGCAAGUAGAACGCUGAAGGAGGAGCUUGCUUCUCUGGAUGAGUUGCGAACGGGUGAGUAACGCGUAGGUAACCUGCCUGGUAGCGGGGGAUAACUAUUGGAAACGAUAGCUAAUACCGCAUAAGAGUAGAUGUUGCAUGACAUUUGCUUAAAAGGUGCAAUUGCCUCACUACCAGAUGGACAUGCGUUGUAUUAGCUAGUUGGUGGGGUAACGGCUUACCAAGGCGACGAUACAUAGCCGACCUGAGAGGGUGAUCGGCCACACUGGGACUGAGACACGGCCCAGACUCCUACGGGAGGCAGCAGUAGGGAAUCUUCGGCAAUGGACGGAAGUCUGACCGAGCAACGCCGCGGGAGUGAAGAAGGUUUUCGGAUCGUAAAGCUCUGUUGUAAGAGAAGAACGAGUGUGAGAGUGGAAAGUUCACACUGUGACGGUAUCUUACCAGAAAGCGACGGCUAACUACGUG